rnacentral:lncRNA from 1 species
UGCAAACCUGUUGUUACUAGGAUGGCAGAGUAAAGGAUGAACUUUAGUGACUCUUGAGACGCAUCUUAGUAAACAUUCUUAACAAGGUCUAUUAUAAUACUUCUUGAAAUAUUCAGAUUUACAAACUCUCGCAUUGUUAUCACUUAAUUCUGCUCAUAUACUUAUUUAACAAGUAUUCUUAAACCUUCAUUUUCACACACACACUUUAACAUAUGAUUGUGGGUUGCAUAUUGGAUUAUUACAUUAUUUAUGUUCUUUUGUUAAAGGUAACAACUAAGGGAAAGGGACAGUAUAUAUAUAAAAACAAAAAAAA